GACAGCAGCAGCCGCGGUAAUACGUAGGUGGCAAGCGUUGUCCGGAAUUAUUGGGCGUAAGGGCUCGCAGGCGGUUUCUUAAGUCUGAUGUGAAAGCCCCCGGCUCAACCGGGGAGGGUCAUUGGAAACUGGGAAACUUGAGUGCAGAAGAGGAGAGUGGAAUUCCACGUGUAGCGGUGAAAUGCGUAGAGAUGUGGAGGAACACCAGUGGCGAAGGCGACUCUCUGGUCUGUAACUGACGCUGAGGAGCGAAAGCGUGGGGAGCGAACAGGAUUAGAUACCCCUGUAGUCCCUGUCUCUUAUACA
rnacentral:rRNA from 1 species